rnacentral:rRNA from 1 species
AGUUGAUCCUGGCUUACGAUGAACGCUAGCGGCAGGCUUAACACAUGCAAGUCGAGGGGCAUCGGGAGUAGCAAUACUGCCGGCGACCGGCGCAAGGGUGCGUAACGCGUGAGCAACAUGCCCGUAUCAGGGGGAUAAUCCAUGGAAACGUGGUCUAAUACCCCAUAGUAAUUAUGUAAGGCAUCUUAUAUAAUUUAAAGCUUUGGUGGAUACGGAUUGGCUCGCGUGACAUUAGCUAGAUGGUAAGGUAACGGCUUACCAUGGCUACGAUGUCUAGGGGUUCUGAGAGGAAGGUCCCCCACACUGGAACUGAGACACGGUCCAGACUCCUACGGGAGGCAGCAGUGAGGAAUAUUGGACAAUGGAUGGAAAUCUGAUCCAGCCAUGCCGCGUGCCAGGAAGACGGCCCUAUGGGUUGUAAACUGCUUUUGUAUGGGAGCAAUAAGGGCUACGCGUAGUCCGAUGAGAGUACCAUACGAAUAAGCACCGGCUAACUCCGUGCCAGCCGCCGC